rnacentral:lncRNA from 1 species
UGGGACAUCUGGUUAAGUGGAAUAGCUCUCUGUCUCAGCAAUUUAAGAGAAGCUUAGAUGUUUUCGAGAUUGCUGAUGGGUUAACUGUUGUUGGGUGCCUUAGGCAUUGACGCUAUAGACAGAAGUCAUCUGCUGUAGAAGUUCGGAUAGAAUUUGUCUAGAGAAAUCCGGCUGGAGUCCGAUUGCUAGAGAAGUCCAUCUGGAAUUUGUCUGAUGUAGAAGCUUAUCUGAAGACUGUCCGUUGGAGAGGCCCGGUUGCAUGAGGAAUCCGAUAGAAGG